UACGAAGGGGGCUAGCGUUGCUCGGAAUCACUGGGCUUAAAGGGCGCGUAGGCGGCUUGCCAAGUCAGGGGUGAAAUCCUGCAGCUUAACUGUAGAAGGGCCUUUGAUACUGGCGAGCUCGAGGGAGGUAGGGGUAUGUGGAACUUCCGGUGGAGCGGUGAAAUGCGCAGAUAUCGGGAAGAACACCCGUGGCGAAGGCGGUUCUCUGGACGGUACUGAUGCUGAGACGCGAAAGCGUGGGGAGCGAACAGG
rnacentral:rRNA from 1 species